rnacentral:SRP_RNA from 1 species
GCACUAGGCGGGGAGCUAGCGGUGCCCUGAACUUGCAAUCCGCUAUAGCAAGGCUGAACCAGUUGUUUGAGGGAGUUUCUGCUUUGUGGAACGAACUUUUAGCUUGGCGUUGAAGUUAAGGUCUUAAACAUUGUUUUGCUGUGAACCAUGUCAGGCCCUGACGGGAGCAUCAUUAAGCAGAUUAAAACAAGUGAUUUAAGGAAGCUUUAAUGGAGCCAACGUUAA